rnacentral:rRNA from 1 species
CGGUGGGAGGAUGACGGUACCGGAAGAAUAAGCACCGGCUAACUACGUGCCAGCAGCCGCGGUAAUACGUAGGGUGCGAGCGUUAAUCGGAAUUACUGGGCGUAAAGCGUGCGCAGGCGGUUCGUUAAGACAGAUGUGAAAUCCCCGGGCUUAACCUGGGAACUGCAUUUGUGACUGGCGAGCUAGAGUAUGGCAGAGGGGGGUAGAAUUCCACGUGUAGCAGUGAAAUGCGUAGAGAUGUGGAGGAAUACCGAUGGCGAAGGCAGCCCCCUGGGCCAAUACUGACGCUCAUGCACGAAAGCGUGGGGAGCAAACAGGAUUAGAUACCCUGGUAGUCCACGCCCUAAACGAUGUCAACUAGUUGUUGGGGAUUCAUUUCCUUAGUAACGUAGCUAACGCGUGAAGUUGACCGCCUGGGGAGUACGGUCGCAAGAUUAAAACUCAAAGGAAUUGACGGGGACCCGCACAAGCGGUGGAUGAUGUGGAUUAAUUCGAUGCAACGCGAAAAACCUUACCUACCCUUGACAUGGUCGGAACCCU